UGCCCAGUCUGGCAGGGGAGACACCUUGACCACGAGGAGGUUUUCCCAGGGUGAGGCGCACCCGUUGCACCGCGGGUGUGCUGACCCCUGCGAUUUCCCCAAAUGCGGGAAACUCGACUGCAUAAAAGGUAGGGUACGAAACUAGGAAGCGUCUUCUCCCAAU